CUCAAUUUCUAUUUGGUCGUUCUCCAAUCGCGCCAUCACCAACAUUGCUCCCGUAGCUCACACUAGCAGGUAAAUGAAUCUUAUAGCUUCCUUACCUUGAUUUUGUAUUCCAAUCUAGCUAGUGAAGAUUAGAGAGGGAAGAGGUCAUUUAUGGAAUUCAGGGGUAAUGACUAAGAACUUUCUUCCGCUUCAUGGAGAGGGGAAGAAGAAGAUAAGUUUAAAGACGCAAAAAUGAAGGUCACCAGCUAGCAACUUUGGAAAAUCUCAUCACAUGAUUCCGAUUCCGAUGAUUCGCUUAGAUCCCGAACUCCGUUAUAGUUUCCAGCGUAACUUCUAGGUCUCUCUUUCACUCGCUCUAUCUCUUUCUACAUUAUUAACGAAUAUGUUGCAGUAAUAUGUUGAUUUAGGAUAUUAAUUGCUGUUAGAGGGUAUGAAAUUGACAAAAUAUGUUGAUCCAAAACCCUCCCUUGCUGUCCCUUCUGUCUGAAACCCUUUCCGAAGCCGCUUCCCUCCUACAGCUGUUGUUGCUUCCAGUUUCAGGGAGAGUAGACCAGGGAAAGCAUAUGGAAAACAGAGCUGUUUUCAAUCCAACAUUCCCCCUAAAUCUAUGGUACGGUAAUGAAUUUUGAUUUUAUUAGACUUGAAUAUGUGAGAAAAAGAAAGGAAUAAUAUAGUUUUUAUAUAAAAUGGGAUAAAGGGAGUACAUGUUAUAAAGGGAGUAAUAAUAUAAUUUUGUUUGAUCUAUCACUUUCAGCAGUGUUAUCUUGUCCUCCAUUGUGAUGAUUUCAUAUCAAAAACAUGAAGUCAAGUUUCUCAAAUGAGUUUUGGAGUCUUUUAUUCUGUUUAGCAAUGAGAUUCCGAAAUUGAUUUACAAUCUUUUAUUUUCUUUUGAAGCUAGUUAACUGGAUCAAUCGUUUCGUUAAAUCUGUUUUGUGGAUGUUCGAGUGGGCUGUGGAACUACCCGAUGAGUUACGCGAUGCGAGAGAGUGAUAAUAUUGAAUCUUUAGCGAGUAGAUUUGGGGUUAGUAUGGCUAGUAUUGAAUCUGUUAAUGGAAUUGUUAAUUCUGAUAAUGUUAUUGUUGGAUCUAUUUACUAUAUUCCUUUAAAUUCAGGUACGUAUCAAUAUCAUCAUUCUUUUUGAUUUCUUAAUCUAUUAUUGCUUGAUUGAAACAGAGUUUAAUGUUUUUUACUUUUUUUUGUUCAAAUGUUUGCAGUUCCUGGUGAUCCAUCAUAUCCUGCAGAGAGCGUUGUUCCUCCAGCUCCUACUUCUACUCUAGCACCGCCUGUUCAUGAUGUUGCCUGGUAACAUGGAUUGGAGUAGUUGAAUUCGUCAAAUGAAGGAAGAGGACACGAUAAUCUGUUCAAAAUGCUACAAGAAUGGGAACUAUGGGGGUGAACAGGUCUGCAGAUAAUUUCAAUCUCAUUCAAAACAUUAUUAAAAAAACUAAAUCCAAACGAGUCUCAUUCUCAAGAGAAAACUGAAGCAAAAGUCCAAGACAAUGAGCUUGAGCAUAAGGGUGAACAGAAUGGAGAUACUGAGAUGGAGACACCAACUCUGAAGAGAAGACGAAGUGCUUCACCUUCAGACAAUAGGGGUGCAUUGAUGGAACAGUGGCGAUCAUGUCUUAGGUUCUUCUCCUGAAGACAUCCUUGAGAGAGAAUACCGGGACGAAGGUACAGAGGCUGGUGGAGGUCUUGGUGAGUUAGGUAUUGUUUAUUUAUCUUACUUCCUUUGGCAUAUGGAGUCUUGAAUAUACUGAAGAAGAAAGAUGGUGAAGGUGAUCUCACACUUCUCCGUCGUCAUCUCCGGUUCAAACAAUGUUAAUUCACCUUUGAGUGGAAACAGAGGACAGAGAGCUUCUAGCGGCGGGGAGGAGGAAGUCGUCGUCUUUCCGUUUCAAAAGACACCGAUGAAUUCGUAGCUUACACAGUUCACAUCCCGCCGACACCCGACCGAGGAACGACAUCGGAAUCUCAGAAUAGUCCGUUGGAGAGCAAAAAGAGUGCGGCCGGAGGAC